UGUGGUUUAAUUCGAUGCAACGCGAAAACCUUACCACCUUUGACAUGGCAGGAAUCCCGAAGAGAUUUGGGAGUGCUCGAAAGAGAACCUGCACUACGAGGUGGUCUGCAUGGCUGUCGUCAGCUCGUUGUCGUGAGAUGUUGGGUUAAGUCCGCUAACGAGCGCAACCCUCGUCGUAUGUUAUAUGUGUCAUACGAGACUGCCGGUAAAGAGCCGGAGGAAGGUGAGGAUGAUGUCAAGUCAGCAUGACCUUUAUAUCCAGGGCUACACACACGCUACAAUGGUCUGUACAAUGGGUAGCCAAGCCGCGAGGCGGAGCCAAUCCUGAAAGCAGGCCUCAGUUCAGAUUGCAGUCUGCAACUCGACUGCAUGAAGCCGGAGUUGCUAGUAACCGCAGGUCAGCAAUACUGCGGUGAAUACGUUCCCGGGUCUU
rnacentral:rRNA from 1 species